rnacentral:rRNA from 1 species
UACGGGGGGGGCAAGCGUUGUUCGGAAUUACUGGGCGUAAAGGGCGCGUAGGCGGCCUUCUAAGUCGGACGUGAAAUCCCUCGGCUUAACCGAGGAACUGCGUCCGAUACUGGAAGGCUUGAAUCCGGGAGAGGGGAUGUGGAAUUCCAGGUGUAGCGGUGAAAUGCGUAGAUAUCUGGAGGAACACCGGUGGCGAAGGCGGCAUCCUGGACCGGCAUUGACGCUGAGGCACGAAGGUCAGGGGAGCAAACGGG